AACAAGGCGUACCUGCGGACCUGCGGAGGGAUCAUUACAAGUGACCCCGGUCUAACCACCGGGAUGUUCAUAACCCUUUGUUGUCCGACUCUGUUGCCUCCGGGGCGACCCUGCCUUCGGGCGGGGGCUCCGGGUGGACACUUCAAACUCUUGCGUAACUUUGCAGUCUGAGUAAACUUAAUUAAUAAAUUAAAACUUUCAGCAACGGAUCU
rnacentral:misc_RNA from 1 species